AACGAACGCUGGCGGCAGGCUUAACACAUGCAAGUCGAGCGCCCCGCAAGGGGAGCGGCAGACGGGUGAGUAACGCGUGGGAAUCUACCCAUCUCUACGGAAUAACGCAUGGAAAAGCUUGCUAAUACCGUAUGCGUCCUUCGGGAGAAAGAUUUAUCGGAGAUGGAUGAGCCCGCGUUGGAGUAGCUCGUGGGUGGGGGAAGGGGCUACCAAAGCGACGAUCCAUAGCUGGUUCGAGAGGAUGAUCAGUCACACUGGGACUGAGACGCGGCCCAGACUCCUACGGGAGGCAGCAGUGGGGAAUAUUGGACAAUGGGCGCAAGCAUGAUCCAGCCAUGCCGCGUGAGUGAUGAAGGCCCUAGGGUUGUAAAGCUCUUUCACCGGUGAAGAUAAUGACGGUAACCGGAGAAGAAGCCCCGGCUAACUUCGUGCCAGCCGCCGCAGUAACAC
rnacentral:rRNA from 1 species